CCUACGGGAGGCAGCAGUGAGGAAUAUUGGUCAAUGGGCGCGAGCCUGAACCAGUCAAGUAGCGUGAAGGAUGAAUGCCCUACGGGUUGUAAACUUCUUUUAUAAAGGAAUAAAGUGAGGCACGUGUGCCUUUUUGUAUGUACGUUAUGAAUAAGGAUCGGCUAACUCCGUGCCAUCAGCCGCGGUAAUACGGAGGAUCCGAGCGUUAUCCGGAUUUAUUGGGUUUAAAGGGAGCGUAGAUGGGUUGUUAAGUCAGUUGUGAAAGUUUGCGGCUCAACCGUAAAAUUGCAAUUGAUACUGGCAGUCUUGAGUACAGUUGAGGUAGGCGGAAUUCGUUGUGUAGCGGUGAAAUGCUUAGAUAUCACGAAGAACUCCGAUUGCGAAGGCAGCUUACUAAACUGCCACUGACAUUGAUGCUCGAAAGUGUGGGUAUCAAACAGGAUUAGAUACCCGUGUAGUC
rnacentral:rRNA from 1 species